CGGGGUUGCCACGGGAGUCCGGUAUCGGCCGGGCUGAGAGGAGGGCCACCCAGCCCUCGACCGUACGAACCUGAUCGGGGUCAUGCCCGCGCAGGGAGGUCCUCGUGGUGUGCA
rnacentral:ncRNA from 2 species